rnacentral:lncRNA from 1 species
GAGAAAAAAAGAGAAAAGAAAAAGGUAUAAGGGCACCUCGGCUCCGUCUUCGCCGCUCUCUGGGAAGAAAAAGAAAAAAGAACGAGAGAAAAAAAGAGGAGAGAGAAAGAGGAAAGAGAAAAAGGUAUAAGGGUAUUUUGGUCAGUUUGCUGAAAAAGCGGACCGAAUCUGUAAAAGCCAAAAAGAUGGCCCGAUUUUGCAAAAGCCCAAAAUAAGUGGAUUUUUUAUGCAAAUUGGCCUAGAAAAUCUACAUACUAGAAAGUGUAGGAUGCAAGAUUUUACACCUAUGAUAUAUGUGUACAGGUAGUUUGCUCUAAAAAUCUUACUAAUUUUAUUUUAUGUUGAUAUUAACUAUAGCCAUUAUUAUUUUAGUUUCAUUUACAAAUAAAUUGGAUAAAAUCUGUAAUUUAAUCAAGCAAGAUGACUAAGAAAAGAAUCCAAAAGUUAAGGAAAAGUUGAUAAAAUAAUAUUUAUUCAUGGUUGAGGGACCAUUUUUGAAUUGAGUGGUUUUGUUACAAAGCAUUAAAUAACAUUACAAUACAAUGUUGGAAACUUGCUUUAAUCCUGGUAAACCAAAUUUCAUCAAUAGAAACAAAAUUUAAAAGCAAAAGACAACAAUGCUAAACACUUAUAUAUAAAUAACAUUCCAAGGUUCACUCACAGACUCAAAAAAAUGGUACUAAGAAAAAAAAAAUAAAUAACAUUACAAUACUCAAAACAACCAGAAUACAGCAACAGAACAAGCUCUCUCUCCCAGUGAAAUUUCAGAAUGUUCAGCCGCGACAAUCCAUACAAUAUAAACACAUAAAAAUGCAAAAUAGCACAACCCCAAGACUAAAAGAUUAGUGAUUUAUACACAGAUAGUUCGAUACUACGAAGGAACAAACGUGUAUCAACCACUAAAUAGUAAUAAAUAUCCUUGAUCAACAGAAGAUGGCUUAUCCGGUUUGUAGUUCGACUCUCUUCGGAGCAGGCUCGAGAGGCUUCACGCCAUUUUUCAAUUCGGAUUUCGGAGUAUCUUUGAUGGGUUUUUGAGGCUGGUGAAGCGCGGACUUGACAGGCUUUCCUGCUUCUAUACCUGUUUGAUAUGAAUUACAUCAGAGAAACCGGUCAGAACCUUUUUACCUGAGAAUUAUUAAUUCGGUAUAAAUUAAAAACAGAAGGUGAAAUGUAGGAAACUAAUUGAGUUACAUGGAAAAUCUAAAAUUAGUUUCUCUUCAUAUACGUGUUAUGCAUGCUACUGAGUGGCAGCUUAAAACGGAACCAUACCUGAAAGAAAACUACAUGAAAAUAUGAAAUACAUGCUUAUCAAAUAUCUCCUUAAGCCGCUGCAAUUGAAGCUUCAAAGCUUUAUUUUAUAUAGCAGGGUUUAAGCCCCCAGACAUGAUAAUGUGCAUUAGUAGUCAUAUCAACUAUCCAGUAGAAAGAGUUGCUCAUGAACCAUAACAUGUGAAAGAACAAUUGCAGCAGACUUGCAACAGGAAGAACUUACAAUGCAUUAAGCAAUUCUAAGGGGACGAGAAUAACUCUACCAGUACAGAGGAUUGAACUUACCGCCUUUUGGCAGGGAUAGUCUUCUUUUAGCUUGUAAAUCUUGUUGUGCGGGCCUCUCUUUUGGAUUGCUAUAUGACCGAGUGCCAGGUUCAGAAGGUCGGGAGAUGGCUUCCUCAGAAAGCUCUUUGGACCGUGGCUUUAGCUUCGAGGUAGAAGACACUAGCACACCUGCAGAACGGCUUGAUGAAGAGCCACUUCCCUCAGAGUGCGACGGGCCCACCUUUUGGUUCAGAACAUUGGAAUGAAGAGUCGAAAUGGGUUUUUUUCCGGGUGUUUUGUACUGCGUCUUAGUUCCACUUCCCUCAGCCUCUUCACUCUCAUGCACCGCCGUUUCGUCUUUAAGAUUUAUGUCGAGGAAUCGGUUCUCCCAUGGACGGACCGCCAUCCAUCUCUCUAGCCAUUUCCAGCCCCAAUUGUUCUUGUCAGGGUCAAACCCUGCAGAGGUAGCCUGCUGCCUGGAACCCGCUUGCCACUGAAAUGAGUAAAACGAAAAACUCUUAAUCAGGGGGGCAAAAAAUCUUAAUCAGUAAGAGCUAAUUCAUACCAAGUUGAAUUCCGAGGUCUAGCAAUCUCCAUUAAGAAUGCACCAAUGAUCCAAACAGACCAAAACUGACACAUUUUUUCUUUUUUGUCAGGUCAAUUCUAUUAACAAUGCUAUUUAAAGAAAAAGCUGAAACAAGGUCUGUCGUAGCAAAAUUAGCAUCAUGUCAACGUAACAAAUCUCAACGCAUCCAAUCUAGUACUAUCCCACGCCAAGUGGUGUUCUUAUUCGAAGUUACCUGAUGAGUUAGAGCAUAUGCCAUGGCUCUCUCACGCUUCGCUGCAGCUUCUUGCCUUUUUAGUAAUUUUGAUUGUAUUUCCUCCACCGAUCCAACACUGUCACACCAGCCUUCCUGCAUUUAAAUGAUACAAUGGGGAACUUACAAGCCACCAGCAGAUUACAUCAAGAAUAGGAUUGUCCCAGGACCCCACUUGGUGGGAUCAUAACUGGGAAAUCACCUUUUAGUGAAAAAGGUCAUAUCCCAAAAUUUAUGACAAAUGGAAGUUAUCGAGGAAUAGUUGCAUUAACGAAAUAGUGAAUGCCACAUGUAGUUAUUUCCAACAUGGAAAAAUAAAUGGCAUUUUAAAUCCUGCUGUAUAUUUAGUACUAGUCUACUAGAAUAAUUAUUAUCAGACUGAUUAAUUAGAUUUCUCAGGGUACUAUGCGUAGGAGUGCUAAUAGGUUUGGUGGAUCCAGAUUACAAUCUGGGAAAGGGUGACAGCAUACAAAAGCAGGCUCACUGUAACUUCGGGCUAGGCCCGACGAAACACAACCAGGCCUUUUUAACCUCACGGUCUUCUACAAGCUAGGCUGUGUUAAGCUCAACAACUAAACAGUUAUCAAGAUCCGAAUCUUUACGGCUAGCUAGACCAGGCAAGUCUGGUCUGGAUGUCCUUCCAUUGUUAGUAUUUUUUUCAUGGAAGUAAAGACUACUGCUUUGUUCCAAAAUGAUCAUGUUUCUUGUACACACAGACUUCUCUCAGAAAUUGCAUGACUUUAAGCAUGAGGAAUUGUUUAGUCACGCUACAUAAAUUUGCCAACUAGUCAACUUUGAGAAGAUUGCAGUCAUGCUGAGAACCAACUAUUAAUAACAAGUAUAGGAAAAGAAAUCUGUGGAGCAUCUCUGCUUUAUUUUCGUCCUCUAUAACAUAUGCAACUGAAAACAUCUAAGAAAAGGUCUUAAUGUUGAUGAUUAAUACUGCUUUAGAUUUAGAGCAACAUUAGUGCAAGUUGUUGGGUAGCUCAACUCACCUCAAUCUCCCGAAUAUGGGCCUCAUGAUCUUGUUCUUGAAUCUUUGCCUCGCCCGACUGACUUUCUAAAGCCAUGCGAACCCUCCUUGCUCUGACACGAGCCUGAACUCUUACCAAAGCUUGCAUACAGCGAAGUGUUACUGCCGCUUGUUUUCUGACGGCAUGACCCCUCACAAGGGCCUGAAGUCUAACCAAUCCUUUUAAAGCUCGUAAAGCUCGUCUAGCCUGAAAAGUCAAUCAAUCAUAAGUAACUGAUUGCAAGAUAUCAAGAACAAUCACACAUUUGGAAUAUAACCAAAAUGCAGAGUGCAGAAGCUCUUUAGCCUAUUCUCACAUGUUUGAUCAGAACCUUUUCAACUAAGCAAAGCAAUCUGCGAGUCAUGAACCAAGUUAGGUAAACACCUUUGAACACAAUAUCCAACUUGGACAAAACGAAGACACUACUAGCUGAUUCUGGUGUUCCACAACUACUCAGCCCUGUAGCAAUGCUAAUGCUAGACAAUAUUUACAUUGUAGUUUAAUAAUUUAUGAGCCACAAUUACCAGCACCUUGGAAACAAAGAUAUUAAGAGCACAUUAUUAAAGGACAUUACACAAUACCAGGAAAGCUCGAAAUGCGGUUUGAAUAACUGUGGCAGCCCAGUUCUCUUUCGCAUCAUGCUCAGUUUGAGAAGACACUGGCAUAAGAAGUGAGGUACUGGGAUUUGAGCUUGAUUGGGCAUCUCCAUUGCCGGUCGAAGAAGUACCAACACUGAACUCAUCCUGACCAGUAGAAUUUUUUCCAUGGUGCAGCAACUGAUCAUCACCAAUGCUAUUCUGCGACAUUAUCAAUUCAUUAGUGAGGAUAAGCAAAUGGAUUAAUACACACGAGGUUACGACGCUGAUGUCAGCUAGCCAUAUCGAGACAAAUUAACAAGGAUGCAGCGACUUAGCAUGAUGUCGUUUUGAUGGAGUCCAGAUCUCUUGAAAUUGCUAUCAUCUCUCUUAAACAAAAAGUGGGCAGCUGGGGACUCCAGAUUGACAGAGAUAGCAAUUGGUGACAAUAUGUGACACAGGAAUCACAAGAUCCAGAAGGGAAAUACAUGAUAGAUAGGAGGAGAGUGAAGGAAAUAUGCUAAUAAUCACAUUUAAGAGUGCAAACCGUUGGUUGGAUCUUAUGUAGAAGAUUGACGUAAGUAGAUGUCAGUACGGCUUCAAGUGUUACUUUAUUACAAGUUUACGUGUCAAAAACUGAUAUCAAGUAAUUUGUCCAGCACAACGAUCAAAAGCAUAUCCAACAUACAAGGUUAACAAUCUAGCUAGGGACAAAUCUCAUACAUGCUCUCCAAGAAUAGCCAAGUUCUUUCAAAAAAGUCUCCAGAAGCUGGCAAACAUCCAGUAAACAUAAUGCACAUAAUAAUUGGAAUCUUAUAACGUGAAUCUAAACAAACAUAACAAUAGAAUAUGACCAAGGAUGAUGAACAAAUUGUUCAAAACAAUAUAUAAAUCUUCAUGGAAUUUGUCUUACUCACAUUUUUAUCCUCUGGAUCCCGUGAUUUCUCAGGUUUUCUCAGACCAACUAAUGACCGAAGCCACUUAGCAGGGAUACCCAUUUCCUGUUACGUAAAAUUUCAGAAGAUCAAUGCCUGCAGCUGCAAAAAGAGAAAAACAGUUAGUAUGAGAGCUCCAAGCGUCACUUUUGUAUGUAAUUAUGCUCGUAAAGGGACGAGAAAACAGUAAAAUGCUGAUCUAGACAACUUGACAUUAAGCAUCAAUAUUUUUCUUCUCCCACUAGAAGGUAGGAUGCACUGAAUUCAAUUAAAGAAAGCUUGAAUUGAACUUCAUUAUGACACUAGCAGUGAAAAAUUGUCUUAUUUAGUUAAGAAAGCUCACUUAGAGAGGUAUAGAGUAAAGUAUAAAAAGUGCACUUUAUCAGUCAAUGAAACUCUCAAUAAGAAUUAUUCAGUAACUAUGCAUUGGACAACCAUGACAUGAGACAAUAAAUCAAAGGCCUGAAUUAAAAUUAUACAUAUAAGUACCAACUAAAACUAAAGAACACAGACAUAACAACUGAUAUUGCUACCCAAAAAAAACAUAUUUUGUUCACUCCACACAGUCGAUUUCGUAAUAACUAACAGUCCGAAUGCUAUGGAUGAGUUAUUGAUGCAAAUUUUUACUAGAUCAACAGCAAUUCGCAGCUUCCGCAAACAUCACCACAAAAAGAAAAGUCACAAAACCUUAAUAACUCUGCUCAAUAACCGCAGAGAGUAUCAUUUACCCUACGAAACAAAGUCAACAACACUGAUCGCAACAAAGCACAAAUUACUCCACCCAAACCCCCAACCAAACACAUUCAAACACAUUCGACUUCAAUCUCCCACACGAAUCAAAGUCAAAACCUUUUUUUUUUUCUUUUUUACCUCAUCAAAUCAAACAUGCAUUGCACGGAUGCUCCAAUCCCGGCGAAGCCGCUUCGAUCCCCCGAUCCGAUCAAAAAAACUCGAAGAAACACUCUAAAAGAAACCCCGAAUUCGAACCAAAUUCGAACUAAAACCCCGCGAAUCCAAAAUUCAAACCAGAUGCUUCAAAUUGAGCUCACAAAAGCGGCGGAUCUGGGAAUCUCCUGUUAGAAAUUAACAAAAAGGGGAUGAGAAAUUCCAAAGGGGAUUCACCUGAGGGAAAGAGAGAGAGAGGCGAGGGGAUAUACCAUUUGCCCCUCUUUUUCUCUCUCCUCACCUCCUCCUCCUCCUCCUCCUCUCUCUCUCUCUCUCUCUCUCUCUCUCUCUCUCUAAAAAAAAGCUCGUUUUCGCUCCCGCUGUAGGAUUCUGAACAAAAGGAAUCGCCUUUUUCUGUAUACGCCCUUUUUCACUGUUGAGAGCUCAGAUGUAAUUAUAUCAAUUUUUUUUUAAGGUAAACUUCAAGUACCACCUCGGGGUUUUGUACUUUCUCAAUUUAGUACUGUAUAGCUUAAAAUGUAUCAAAUUAGUACAUGAGGUUUCAUUUUUUUUUAUCAGCUCCUUCGUUAAUAUUUCGUUAAAUUAUAUACAAAAAACUUUAGAUACCUCAGCUCGAUUUAUCGAACAUUCACUUUAGUAUCCUUUAGUUUUAACUUCCUUACUAAUUUAACGAAAAAAAAAAUAGUUGAAUGAAUAAUAAAAAAAAUAAAAUAAAAUCAUAGAUACUAAAUUAAUACACUUCGAAUUAUAGAAUACUAAGGUGAAAAAGUAUGAAACUAUAGGGUGGUAUUUGAAGUUUGUUCUUUUUUUUUCUCAUUUAGUUACUAUUCUCUCGAGGAUAACUUAAUAAUAACACAAAGCUGAUUACGUGGCAUAUUUUUAUUGGAUUAUUAUUUCACAGCUGUGUUGAAUGUAGUGCCACGUCAUCUGUUCUGUGAGUAGUCAAACUACGCCUCUGAUCGUGAUGCGCGUGGCUUGCACAGAUAGGUUGAAAAUGUAUUGAGACCCCCUUGACUAUAGAGUUCUCCGCGGUAGGCCCUUAAACUUUUUUUUUUAAAAAAAAUUACUUUGUACGUCCUAUUAUUAAAUUUAAUAGUAUUAUUAUCAAAUAAACAUCAUAUUUUUUUAUAAAAAUUAUAAAAUUUAUCUAAACUACAAAUCAUUUUAAUUUAACUAUUUAUUUCUUAAAAAAAUAAUUGAAAUAUUUAUUUAAUUUAAGCCGUUUGAUGAAUAUUUUAACAUAAAACUUAAGAUAAUUAUUUAAUUUAAUAAAUUAAUAAUUAUAUAAUUAUUAACUGACUCAAAUUAAAUACGUUAAAAAGUUGGAUAGCAUACUUAAAAUAUUUAAAAGAUUAAAUAGUUUGUUUAAAAUUGAUGAUAGUUAAGAUAAGUUUUAUAUAUAUAUAUAUAUAUAUAUAGAGUUCGGCUACUAUGCUAUCGGUAGCACGGAGCGCUCCGUGCUACCGAUAGUAUAGUAGCCUAGCUCUAUAUAUAUAUAUAUAUAUAUAUAUAUAUAUUGGCCUAAAAUUUUUAAUUUAAUUGAUCAAAAUCAAAAUCAUAUAAUUUAAAUUUAAAAAUAACAAAAAAAUGUGUAGAAAAACUCAUUUCGAAAUGGCCAAUAGUUGAGGAGGGAUGUUUAUAUACGUAACACUCCCAAAAAAACAAAAAAAAAAAAGCCUUAGUUAAUUAUUAAAAAAAUCAUUAGAUUUCCUAAUUAGGCCGGCCCCACGUGUCAUUAAUUAAAAAAUUAGAAAUUAGGGAAACGGUCCACGUGGUGCGUGGCAGGAUAAUCAUAAAUAAUAAUAAUAAAACUAGUGUAGUAACUCGCGCGAUGCGGCGGGCAAAAUAUAAAACAAACUGAAGAUGUUGAGUGAAAAUUGUGGAAAAAAAUGUUUAGAUAGUAAUAUACUCAUUCACUAUUAUUUUAUAAUAUAAAAUAGAUUCUUAGAAAUAUUCUAAUCCUUGGGAUACAUAUGCCAUGUAUGCUUUUCGUCCCUCAGAAUUGUGUGUAGAAUCCCUAAAAAAUCAAUAUACGUGUCACAACAUAAAUGCCAAUUACAAAAAAAAUUGUAUACUAAGUGAAAUUUGAUGAUAUAAGAUUCAAACAAAAUUUACAUUCGAAUAACCAUCACGCCUGACCUUUUCAAUUCUAAAUCUCGAAGGAAAAGAAUAUCCUAAAUAGCAUGCUGACUUAUGGGAAUGUCGAAACCCAAAUCGAUGGCAAGUUCAGCAUUGCAAGGAAAAUGAUAUUGAAGUCGACAGGAGGUUGAUAAUUCUCGUCCAGAAUACAUGACAAAUUAGAUCCAAUAUAACGUAGCCCUGCAAUAAGACAAAAAUGAAAAGCGAAGUUUCUUAUUCCAUUGAGCAGAACACAAUGUUGAUGAUGUUCUGUUUCUUAAUACCUCAUCUUACAUGCUCUUCACCCACAUUCCAUCGCUUGAGCGCAAGUACACAUGCAUGCCAAUGUGGAAGAUAGAGCAUCUUUCAUCAAAGAGGGAUGAAUGUGGUCAAGUCCCCAGGAUCCAUUAGAAUUUUGAUUUUGUAACAUCCAAUCGACGCACUGAGGGAAGUACGGGGUUUGAGGAGAUCCAGGAGAAGGGACCAUGGCUAUCCAUGCCAUGUCAUACGAAGAAACUGAAUAUUCGACCUUACUUAGCUGCUACCUUAUUCGUUUCUCCGAUUUCCUGGAACACUACAGCCACUUCUAAUAAGAUGCUUAACUCGACCACAAAUUUAUCAUAUGGAGAUUUCAAAAUAAGAUGGGAUCGAUAAAUCUAAUACCAUUACUGAGAGGUUCGCGCUGCUUGCUACUUUCGCAUCAUCCAAAUUUGCUGUAUACGAAAACGAAGCAGUUGGCAAUCAGCAAAAGUCAAAUAAAUGUAACACCAGAGCAAGUGAAAUAUGCAAAUGUCUUUUCGUGAUAAUUCCAACCAAUCUAGUUAGAAGUUGACAUGAUAUAGCUAGAUCUAACGCAUGCUGCAAUUUGAAGAUAAUCCCAUAUUUGGCAUUUAACAUAUUCUCCUAAAAAAAAUAAUACACAUAACUUUAAUUGUCUUAUUGAGACAAAUGUAAAUAAUAUAAUUUAAUGCCACGUUUACUUGUAUAAUAGCAACAGUUGAAUAUCAAUAUUAAAUGCACCAUACUCUCUUAGAAAAGUAUUUCGUAAUCACAAUGGUGGGAAAGCUAAGUUAGUAUAUUUUAAGAAAACUAUACAUGAGAUGCUUCAGUAUUAAAAAUUAGAAUAUUAAAAAAAAAUGUUCUUCAUACUUUUUAAUAUACUUUAAAAUUAUUAAAACUUUUAAUGUAAAUGUGUUUUACUCUCUACAAAAUAACUUAUAGAAUAAAUUUUAAAAGAUCAUUGAAAAGAAAUAUCUAUAUUUGUGAGGAAUAAGGUGAAAAUUCAUUCUGUUCGUCUUGUUGUAAUUGCUCGUUUGGUUGGAUAAUAGACCCUCAUAUGGUUUGAUUGCUUUGUAUCCCAACGUAGUGCAUGUAUAUAAAGAGAAGACUCUCCAUAUAGACAAUAAAUCCUUUAUGUAUGUGACAGGCCUGUUUGUGUUUUGGUUAAGUUUCUACAUCCUCGGAUUUUCAAAAAAAAAAAAAAUAUUGAGCCUUUUUUUUGAGAAAAUCCUUUCCAAUUUGGUAUCGAUUUUUUGUUUUUUUGAACUAAAAACCUAAUAAGGGGCUUUUGUAAAUUUUGGGAUCCACACCGAAUAAGAGAUGUACACGUAGCAUUUUCCUUUCUUUUUUUUUUUGUGGGGGGAGGCAAGCACAUUCUCGCAAAUGCUCUCGAGGCGUGGAUCUUUGGGCAAAAUCUUUUGAUAAUUAAUUUUUUUUAAAAAUUAAAAUUUUAAGUAGUCCAUCUCUUUAAUUGAAGUUGUCUUUGCAUAUAAAUAGAAUCUUAUAGAGCUUCAAAACUCUUAGAGUUGCUCGAAAAUUUGAGAAUGAAAUUAAAAUUCAAAUCAAACUUUCAAAAAUAUCUUUGUUAUUAGACCUUCUUUACAUUGUCAUUUCCAUGAUAAUUGAGCUUGAGUAGUUUUCGUUGCGCUUCUUAUGUCUACAGAGAAAUCGUUUCUCUAUAAAAUCUUAUCCAAUUAUUCAAUUGCCUUCGAAAGUCAAGGCACUUUUGAACUACUUUUUUUGCUUUUGGAGAUUGUAUUUGCUAACUUUCUAUUUGCUUAGGGUCCUAAUCUCAGGAGGAGUACCAAACUUUAUUUGAUUUAGUAAACUUGAACUUGCACUUAAAAGCUUUUGAAUAGAAACAAACUAAUCAUAGAAUGGUUUAUCUAUUCUCAUUAUUUUCUCUCUUUUUAAUUACCAUAUGGAAAAUAUUACCAGUAGAUUGAAGCAGCAUCAGCAGGUGAUGUAGCAGCAGCAGCGGCAGUCUACAACAGCAGCAGAUGACAGCAAUAGUAGUUUGCAAUGUAAAAAUAGGUAAAGCUAAAGAAAAAUAAUUCCUAAUAUAUCUUAAAAUAAAAACGGGUAGUUAAGAAUAGAUUAAACUAAACUAAACUAAUCAAAAGAGAUAAACCAUUAGGGUUAAGGGCAAAUUGAAUCAAACCCUACCACCCCCACACCGACCUGUGUCGUCGCAGCGGAGCUCCUCGCAGGCGGAGCAUCCGGCGACCAUGGUGUCCACCGCCGACGACCCGCUGCCGUCCAUAGCGCGCUACGUCGCCCUCGCCGCCUCCCGGAACGCCCACGUGCUCACAACCACAGGUUGCCCUAGCGCCGCAUCCACCUUCACCUCCACGAUGAACACAGGAGAGAGAGAGAGAAUUAGAGAGAGGAAGAAUAUCCAUACAAAAAUUUUAGAGAUGAGAUGAUCCUUACCGUAAUAGAGAGUAGGUAGAGGGGGAGGAGGAGGAGACGGAGAGGAGGCCUCAUUUUGGGAGCGAGCAUGAACCAAAUCCAUUUUUCAGGCAUUAGGGGGAGCAACCAACAGGAUCGAAGCGACGGAAGGAGUAAUAGACGCUAUCGAAGCGACGGGAUAGCAGGGAUCGAAGCGGCGAGGGGAGAGGGUCGAGAGUCGAAGCGAUGUGGGCAAAGGGAUCGAAGCGGUGAGGGGAGAGGGUCGAGAGUUGAAACGGCAGGGGUAGAUCGAAAAAAGAACCUAUUUAGAAAUAAAACCGAACAUGAAAACCUACAGGUGGGACCCAGGACGGGUCCACGUGUACAACAAAUUAAGAAUAGAUUAAGGAUAAUAUGACACGUGGAUAGGCUAAUACGGGAAUUAAUAGAGGAUAUAUAGAUAAUAAUAAUAUAAUAAUUAUUAAUAAUAGUAAUAUAAUAAAUAACAAGAGAAUAAUGGAUAAUAAGUACGCCAAAGUGGCUACGCAUUUAUGGUUAUACCAAAUAAUAUAUAUAAUUAUUAAUUAAUAUUGUAUUGUUGGGUAUUUAAUACGUAGACUAGAAUUACACGUCAAACCGCGAGAGUCUAACAAUUAAUUCUCUUCGAUUAUUUAAAAUAUUGUACAUAUAAUAUUGUAACUACGUACUUAUAAAAAAUAAAACUUUUGAAAAAUAUAAUAAUUUAUUAAUAUCCUGUUUGUAUUUAAGAUGGCAAAAUAAUAGAUUUUGAGAUAAACUAAACUUUAUAUUUAAUUACUUUUCUUUUACCUCAUGUUCCAUAGCCAUGGAUGUAAUUUUUUUUUUAUUUUGCUAUUUAUUUGACAUAAAGUGAAUAAUGUAAAAAUAGUCGUUAAUAUUUUAUUAUUUUUUACUAUAUUUAUUUAGAAAAAAUAGCAUGCUACUUACUUCAUUUAUAUUUUUUUAUUAAAGAUAAACUUAGCUGGAAAUGUGACAAAAUUAAACUUCGAACUUAGAACAACUAGUAGUAAUUUAUCAAGCGAUUAGCCACCUGCUUUAGGGACCAUCAGUUAAUUUAUUUUUUGUGUAAUUGGCUUUGAUCACUUCGGGAUUGUUCGAAGUCAAUUACGAUAUUUUUAAGAGUUUGAGUUUUGAAUCAAAGUGAUUUUACGGGAUAUCUAACAUCGGAAGUGAAUAUUUACAAUCAAAAAUCACCUCACUUCUCUUCACUUUCGAUGCAAUAAAUGCAACCAUAAUGACUUUAAUGUUAAAAACUAAUUUCUAAUCCAUUUUACAUUCAACUAAAAUAUUUCUUUAGAUCUGCGCUUCAGUAGUAUUUUAGAGCAAUUGCAGUUCAAAAAAUUACUCAACACUUAUUAACAAAUUAAAUAUAUAAGAUCAGUUUUAUGAAUCUUCAAGAAAUAGUUUAUGGUUUAUCAUCAUAGGAAAAUUAGUAAAGGUGUAAUUUUUAGGGGCCUAAUUUGUCAAAUGCAUAAUAGAAAAAAGCUCUUCAUCUCUUCAUUAGAUCAUAUUAUAUUGAAAAAUAAUAUAUAUUAAAGGCUAAAUUACUGAAAACCUUCAUGUAAUAACUUGCUUUUUCACUUUCCCUUCCUGACAUUUAAAAAUCUACACUUUUUUUUCUUGUAAAAUAAAAAAUGUGCACUUCAUUCCCUACCGUUAGGGUUCCAUUAUAAAAUAUUUUUUUAUGCUGAAAAUACCCCUUCGCCCUCUUCUUUGUUGCUUCGCCUCCCUCUGGCUCGCCGCCUCGCCGCCUCGCCUUCCUCCACUGCCUCACCCUCGCCCUCGCCCACAUCCCCUUCGCCCUCCUCCUCCACCUCGCCUUCGCCCUCGUUGCCCUUGCCUACCUCUCCAUCAACACCCAUCUCGAUUUCCUCUCUACUAUCAUCGAAAUCAAGGGGGUGGCGAGGGUGCAGAAAGAGAAGGGGAGCAGAUGGAGAAGGAAAUCGAGAGAAAUCGAGGCCGAUUGAGGGGGAAAUCGCGGCCGAUCGAAGGGGCGGCUGAGGAAGAUGAGGAAGAAGACGAAAAUAGCGAGGGACAAAAUGAUCAUUUUACACACCGUAAUCUUCCUGUGAACAUUUUUCAUUUUACAAUGGGACAAAAUGUAGAUUUUUAAAUGUCAGGAAAGGAAAGUGAAAAAACGGAUUAUUAUAGGAGGGGUUUCUAUAAUUUAGCCUAUAUUAAAUCAAUUCAAACAUUGGACCAACAUAAAUAACUCUUGGAAAUAAUGCAAAAGCCAAUCUUAAUUAGCAUUGUUCUUAGGAUAUGUUUAUGUUAAUGCACGUCAACUUACAAUAUUUUUAUGUAUAAUAGCGCGUCGUGUUUACAACAAAACUAUGAAUAACAUAUGCAAAAUAAAUGGUUGGUGGACUUUUUGUUUUAAUUUUUGUGGUAAACCAUUUGUUUAGUACGGUUUUAUAAAUAUGUUAAAUAUAAUUUGUUCUAAAAGAUAAUAUAUUUAUUUUUUGCUUUUUUUUUUGUUGGAAAAAGAAAAGGACAUGAAAGGAAGGGAGAAAAAAAAUUUGUGCUAAAUUCAAAACAGUUGAACUUACAUUUUCACUAAAACACGUAAUUAAUUAUUAACAUGUAACUCUUAAGUAUAAUAGUUUAAUAAUAGAAUAAAUAUUAGUAAUUCUUAAUUUUUUUUUAAUAGUACAACAUUUUAAAACCAAAGCCCAAUUAGAUAGACACAAUCCACGCUAUCUAAAAAUUUUAUAUAUAAAAAGUUAUAAAAUUUAAAAAUAUAUAUAUUACUAAAGCGCCAGGUAAUAACCUUAAUAUCGGCUAAAAAGUAGGGUCAUAACUCCAUUUGUAAGAGGAAAUAUUCAAAAAAUUUUGAUCUUUUAUAUUUAAAUUUUUUAAUGCUAUUAAAUAUAUCUUAUCAAUUAAAUUUUAAUUUGGGUAAAUUGCAUGUUUGGUUCACAAACUCUAAGGCGGGUGGACACAAUGGUCCUUAGACUUUAUUUUUUUGUAAUAUAUUUGACUCGAAUUUUCAGAUUUGCUACAAUUAAAUUUUAGAACCCAAUUUAGUUAACUAAAUAUUAUUAUAUCGCUAAUAUAGAAGUGAUAUAAUAAUAUUAUGAUUGAUAAUGCGAUAUAAUUAAGAUGUUAUCAGCAUGUAGUGAGCAAAAUUAGGAUGUAGAAAUUAACUAACUUAAUUUUGAAUAUUCGAACAAAAAAUUAUAACAAAUUAAAAUUUGAGGACCAAAAUACCACAAUGGUUAUAGUUUGAGGAUCAAAAUUACAAUUUAUCCUUCUAAUUUUGAGACAUUUAUCACAUGCACCCCGUUCAGGUUAUAAUAGUACAAAGUUCAGGGACCUGCGCGUAGUUUUUGCAACUCAUAAAUUAGCUCGGAACGCUUUCGGCGAGAAAGAUACGCGAAUCUUCUCCGCAGCGUCGAUCUCGUCCGUCCAAUAAGCAGCCGACGGACGAGAUCCGUUCCCGCUCCCAGAAACUCUCAUCAGAGUCUCGACCAUUCGAGAACCUUCCCCGCUCUCUCCCCCCACCAACUAUAAUUUCCGCCUCUCAUUUACGGGAGGCUCCAAAAUCGCAUCUCCAUCUCCACCGCGUCGUCUUCGUCUUCGUCUUCUUCGUUGAGAUCGUGUUCGGAUCGGAGGAUUAGAGUUAGGGUUAGGGUUAGGGUUAGGGUUGGGGUUAGGUUUUCGUCGCCGAGAUGUUCGGGAGGGCGCCGAAGAAGAGCGACAACACGAGGUACUACGAGAUCCUCGGCGUGUCGAAGAACGCGUCGCAGGACGACCUCAAGAAGGCCUAUCGCAAAGCCGCGAUCAAGAACCACCCCGACAAGGGCGGGGAUCCGGAGAAGGUAAGCGAUCUCUGAUGCUGUUCCUCAUCCAGGUUGCCCUACUUUUGCUUUUCUUUUUUUAGCUCAUUGGAUCUUCGAUUAGGUUGUUGAAUUGAUCGAAUUGCUGUUAUUUUUUUAGAUGUUUCUGGUAGAGAAAACGUUUUAUCUUCGUGUGCCACUUUUGCAAGUAUAUGGGGAUUUUAAUUGCCUUGUUAUCUCUCUAUUCACGACGAUUAUAGUUCCGUCGAAUGGAAAUUGAUUUACUUAAAUUUACUAGUUAUGGUUUCAAGUUAGUGGAUUGGCUUGAUUCUAAUUUUUUUUAGCUAUUCAAACCUAGGGGAAUUGAUUGAAUUCAUAGUCCUAUUUUUUUUUGUGUUUGAAUCUUGAAAUUGUGGAGAAAGAAAAGAGAUUUAACAAUUUGAAGGCUCUGAACAACUUAGUUGAAUUAUCUUUUACCUGUUGAUUGCAAUGUUGGGGUGAAGGUUCAAGGAAGAGAAUGUUGUAGAAAGGAGUGGCAUAAGCUAAUUGUGAAUAAAAGGAAUUAGAAGUAUGUAGCUUGUUGGAAAUUCUGCAGUUUAAUUUGUUGAUCAGUUGGCGUGGUCAGAUUCAUCAAUCGGUGGGUUGUUUCUGUAGGGGGAUCUGGCUACGAGGUCAAUCGAUUGUAUGUCGGCCUAGAGUUGCUAAAAGCCUUUGAUUUGUUAUUUAGUUCAAUUUCUUUAAAGCUUUUAUGAAUCCAGGGGCUGUGGAAAUGUUGAUGGAACUUCUCGAAGCUUAAUGAGAAGAAGAAAUCAAACUAGUUGGUGCAGAAUGAGGGGUAGGAAGAAGUUAUGAAAGAACGUAGAGGGAUACAAUGUCAUUGAACAUUCAUUUUAAAUACCGUAUGGCUUAGUAUUGUUAUUUGUACUUGCCUUCUUACAAAAUAUGCAGCCAAAUUCGACCUACAAAUAUUUAAGUUUCUCGAUAAGUUCUUUUAUUUCAACUGAACUUAGUUAAAUGCAUCUUAAUCUGGUCAAGCGAAUUACCUUUGAAGCUGAGUUUAUGUAUUGGAAGUGUCCGAGGAGGAUUGAGAAGGAUUUUUGUUCGAACUCUGGUUUUGCGGUUGGUUGUAAGUGCGUCAUUUGUUAAUGCACCACAACUAGUUCAGUUCUUUGAUGCUGAUGAUGUGUGGGUUAUUUGACGAUGUUGUAUGUCGGUUGACAUAAAUUGUCGAAGGAUAGUUAUAAUUUGUCCUUUAUUAAGUUGGAGCUGAUUAGUAGGACCUGCUUGCUUUCAGUUCAAGGAGUUGGCGCAGGCUUAUGAAGUCCUCAGUGACCCAGAGAAGCGCGAGAUAUAUGAUCAGUAUGGCGAGGAUGCCCUUAAGGAAGGAAUGGGUGCAGGGGGAGGUGUGCACGACCCAUUCGACAUCUUCCAAUCAUUCUUUGGUGGAAGCUCCUUUGGAGGUAUGCAUCAUAUUUAAACAUGAUGAUUAACCUUUUUCUCUGUAGUUCAUCUUUUGCCAUCAAGUUACUGAUCUUUUCCGUUGUUACUGUGGCUACAAAGGUGGUGGAAGCAGCAGAGGCAGAAGGCAAAAGAGAGGAGAAGACGUGAUCCACCCUCUUAAAGUUUCACUUGAGGAGCUGUACAAUGGGACCACAAAGAAGUUCUCCCUUUCCCGAAAUAUCAUUUGCUCCCAGUGCAAUGGGUAAACACCCUACUUUCUACCAUAGUCACAAGUUUGGCAUUUGGAAUGAUUUUAGAAGGGUUGAAAAUUCUGGUUUCGACUAAUAUUCAGUAAAUUAAUAUCAGAUGUUUUGUCAAUGAAAACAUAAAUAUAUAAAGGAACAAUAUAACAUUUGUUAAUUUUCUUAAAUUAUUCCGAAAGGAACUUCAAAAUAUAAUGAAUCAGUCUGUUAAGAAUGAAAAUUCUUCCAAUUUUUUAAACUAGUGGAACAAUAUUUAGCUAAUCAUUCUUUCUGUGAUUUUGGUUGUUAAUAUUCACACGUUAACGCUAGCAGAUAAUUCAUAUAGUAUUGGCUAACCGAACUCUUGUAAAUUAUUCACAAACUUCUCGAAGACCUGGGGAUUGUUGUGACUAUGCUUUCCAUGAAAUGGCCAUUUUCUAACUUGUUAUUGUUCUCUUAACUUUUGCGACAUUGCACUUGGCAGAAAGGGUUCAAAAUCUGGUGCUUCGAUGGAGUGUGGUGCCUGCCAGGGCACAGGCAUGAAGGUCUCGAUCCGCCAGUUGGGGCCUAAUAUGAUUCAACAGAUGCAGCACCCAUGCAAUGAGUGCAAGGGCACGGGUGAGGCCAUCGAUGAGAAUGACCGGUGUCCACAGUGCAAUGGUGAGAAGGUUGUCCAGGAAAAGAAGGUAUUGGACAUCGUGGUUGAGAAGGGGAUGCAGCAUGGCCAGAAGAUCACCUUCCCUGGAGAGGCAGAUGAAGCGGUAUGUUCGAGUUUUUUAUGCAUUGAAAAUCCUGAAUUUGGGCACGUGUGGCACGUUUGGAGCUUACAAAUAAGUGCUGUUUGCUAGACUUGUGCGAAAAAGCACUUGUAUCUUCUCUUUAUUGAACAAUUUUCUCCAACAGCUGUCUGCGGACGCAGAAUUUUUAGAUGGGGAGCUUUUGCUUUCGGAGCUCAAAAGCUCAUUUUGGCUUCUUGCGCCACAAAAGCUCCAAAGUUUUAACCAAAGUUGUUGUUCCAUACCUUUUUAACUUAUUUUGUUUAUUUGGUGCAGCCCGACACAAUCACUGGAGACAUUGUGUUAAUACUCCAGCAGAAGGAUCAUCCCAAGUUCAAGAGAAAGGGCGAUGAUCUCUUUGUUGAGCACACAUUGUCUCUCACCGAGGCUCUAUGUGGGUUCCAGUUUGUUUUGACUCAUUUGGACAAUAGGCAGCUGCUUAUCAAAUCAAAUCCUGGUGAAGUUGUCAAACCAGGUAUGACUUCAGAACAAAAAAAAAAAAAAAGGGAGAUAUUUACAUGUAUGCAUGUGCAGUAUUGUCUUAUCUAUUUACAUCUUUAUGCAACUUAUCUAUUUACGUGCAUCCAUACACAUGCAUAUAUGAAUAGAUUUUCCCUUCAAAAAACUAAUACAACACCAACUUGUUCCGACAACCAAGAGGGUCCUUUUGCCAUCAAAACCACUUUUUUAGGGAUGUAUAAUAUAAAAAUUCAUCUUUUACAAAGGAAGUAGAUGAUUCUGUAGGAUUACAUAUGUAAAAGCUGGAAAGGUUAUAAAUAUGCCUCUUUGAUUCUGUUCAACUUUGUGUAUCUCUGACUUGUCGCUUGGCACCUUAAUUCAGAUCAAUUCAAGGCGAUAAACGACGAGGGCAUGCCAGUCUACCAGAGGCCAUUCAUGAAGGGGAAGCUCUACAUCCACUUCACUGUGGAUUUCCCCGAUUCCUUGACCCUCGACCAGUGCAGAGCCCUCGAGGCCGUGCUCCCGCCAAAGCCUGCGUCCGAGCUGACGGACAUGGAGCUGGACGAGUGUGAGGAGACCACCUUGCACGACGUGAACAUCGAGGAGGAGAUGAGGAGGAAGCAGCAGUCUCAGGCUCAGGAGGCGUACGAUGAGGACGACGACGCCUUUGGCGGGGCCCAGCGUGUACAAUGCGCCCAACAGUAGUCGGGGGUAAUCCCUUUUUUUUUCAUUCCCCUCCUGUUUUCUGGGGUUGCAAUGCUAGGUCGCUUGGUGUGGUGAUUACAGCCAAAACUGACAUUUAUAUUCCAUUUUGAAUGCAAAGAGUCUUGCAUGUAUUCUAUUCUAUCCGAGCUCUUUUGCUUGGACAUUUAUGUAGUAUAUAUAGAAUGGUCGUGCAUGUAACCUUACUUUUUCCCUGUUAUUGAGAAUUCUGCAAGUGUUUAGUAUCAAGAAAGGAUGCGAGACGUUAGAUUUUUAUUUUUAGUUGCUUGUAAUCUGGGAAUCGCACUUUAAUCAGGUUAAAUCAAGAGGUAAAUAGGUGUAAAAAAAGCUGUUUAAAUUAUAUUUGCAGAAAAGUUCGUGAGGAUAUAUUUUUUUCCUUUUUGUCUAGUAUAUUCCCUUCAUAAAAUUCCCUAUGGAUCUGGUCUUUCGAGCAGAACAAAUUUCAAUGUGGUGCUUCUCAUUCAAAUUAUUUAACCUUCUUUUUUUUUUUUNAGAGAAAAAGGAAAGAGAAAAAGGUAUAAGGGUAUUUUGGUCAGUUUGCUGAAAAAGCGGACCGAAUCUGCAAAAGCCAAAAAGAUGGCCCGAUUUUGCAAAA